rnacentral:misc_RNA from 1 species
GAUGAAGAACGUAGCGAAAUGCGAUAAGUAAUGUGAAUUGCAGAAUUCAGUGAAUCAUCGAAUCUUUGAACGCACAUUGCGCCCGCCAGCAUUCUGGCGGGCAUGCCUGUUCGAGCGUCAUUUCAACCCUCGAGCCCCCCCGGGGGCCUCGGUGUUGGGGGACGGCACACCAGCCGCCCCCGAAAUGCAGUGGCGACCUCGCCGCAGCCUCCCCUGCGUAGUAGCACACACCUCGCACCGGAGCGCGGAGACGGUCACGCCGUAAAACGCCCAACUUCUUAGAGUUGACCUCGAAUCAGGUAGGAAUACCCGCUGAACUUAAGCAUAUCAAUAAGCGGAGGA